UGCCAGCCGCCGCGGUAAUACGGAGGGUGCAAGCGUUGUUCGGAAUUAUUGGGCGUAAAGAGCAUGUAGGCGGACUAUUAAGUCUGAUGUGAAAGCCCGGGGCUCAACCCCGGAAGUGCAUUGGAUACUGGUAGUCUUGAGUAUGGGAGAGGAAAGUGGAAUUCCGAGUGUAGGAGUGAAAUCCGUAGAUAUUCGGAGGAACACCAGUGGCGAAGGCGACCAUCUGGACGGGUACUGACGCUGGGACGCGAAAGCGUGGGGAGCAAACAGGAUUAGAUA
rnacentral:rRNA from 1 species